rnacentral:lncRNA from 1 species
AACGUUCAAAGAAGAAGAAAAAAAAUAAAUAACUAAGGAGGGAGGAUCGAGAGAAAAGGUUCUUUCAUUUGGAAAGCGACGUAAGUUCAGUGUCGAGGUUCGGAUUCGAGUUACGUUCGUUAUCCUUACCCGUUUUCUUGUAAUUGCUGGUCUUCUUUUAUAUUAUUGAAAGCUUCUGCAAAGGUUCAUAUUCUCUAUCUUUAUUAUUUUCUGUCUUUGAAUUUGUAUAUAUUUUAUGUGUUCAACACUGUGUAAU